rnacentral:lncRNA from 8 species
AUGGCAAAUCUUUUUUCCAACAAAACCAUGAGGCUCAAGUGGAUGCGCAUGUCUCUUUUGAUCUUGGUUUUAUUCCUGGGUGACUCCCGCGGUUCCCAGGUGAAGUUUGGCCGCUUGGAUCGGUGGGUGAAGACCGGGUUUCAGUACCUGAAGUUAAACCUGUGCCGCAGGGUGUCUCUGUCUGAGGGCGAAUGUAAGCGGCUGUCCCAUCUUCAACUCAGCGGGGUGGCCGUGUACGUCUCCGAACCAAACUCCGAGAAAGUACUCGCCAUUCUCCCAGAUUCCUAUUCUUCGGGGAUGCUACCGCCGAAGCAAGGAGGUUAUGGUAUGAGUUCGGUACUGGAGGACAGUAGAAGACAUCAGGAUUUCUUCCCGGGAUCGACUGUUCAUGAUGCGGUGUUGGUGUUAGAUCCCAGUCCCGGAGAGAGUUUCGGACACCCCGUGGUUCUCUUUUAUGUGGACCUAAACACGACCAAGAAAAAAUGUGCACACAUGGAUGGAAUUUAUUUAGGAGAGGAGUGUCUGACCCUGGCCCUAAAGAGUCGCUGUCAGAACCAGCUGAAGCGUCGUCAGAGCGGCAGCGAGCGGCCGGCGGGGAACGGGCGCGCCCGCAGGGCUACUGCGGCGAGGCCCAGGAGCGGCCCAGGGAGGGUGGAGCGCAGCGGCGGUCUCUGUGAGAUACAUUUCCUUCCCAUGGUGAUCGAGGUCAGGGAUAACAACCGGACGCAGAGGCUACGUUGCGUGGACCACCCAGAUUUUGCCCAGUGUCCCCAGCCUCUGCCCCUCACCAGCCCCAACAUGCCAGUGUCCAGCUGUGAGCUCAACAAGAACACCAGGCGAUGCCACCAGCAGCCACUGGCUACACACCUGUCCUGUCGCCUCUACCAGACCUGUGACCAUGCUAUACUACUCUCAGGUGGAUGGCAGCAACAGAUCACGUACCAGCGUCACGUUCAGAACCUGCAGCUCUUCUACAGAAUGCUGAGGAACAACGGUUUCCACAGAGAUCACAUCAAGACCUUCUUCGCUGGGAACGGACAGCUCUCAGAGGAGGCAGAAUGGGUAUACCCGGCUACAGAGAAACGAGUGAUAAGGAACCACAUAUCCUAUAUCUGUGGUAAGCAGCACUGUGCAGACUCCCUGGUGCUCUACCUCAACAGCCCCACCAGGAACGACGGGACCAUGCUGCUCUGGGACGGCAACUACAACGGCAUAGCAGACCUGAAGGAGCGUUACAGUGUGGGAGAGCUCCUAGCGGACCUGGCAGGCUGUAGGGCUAGACGAGUACUAGUCUUCGUAGAGCAGAGUUACAGCGGGGCGCUCAGUAAGAGACUGAAAGGAUCUCUGAAACACCUGAACGUGGUGCUGCUCAACAUAGCCAACAGCUGGGCCUCGCUGCACCCAGCAACAUGCCUUAUAGACCACCUGAGUAAGGAGUCAGGGAUGUCCCGCCUCCUAGACCCCAAAGCCAGCCUUUUGAACGUCAACCUAUCUGGUGCUCCCUGUAACACCACCCCCCCUCUGAGCGAAGCAGAGAUGAGGAAGGAGUACAUGGGCUGUCAGAACCUCCCCACCGCCCUGUGGUACCAGAACCUCCCCACCGCCCUGUGGACAGUCACAUCCAUCUAGAGUACAACACAGAGAGACCCAACCACAUGGACAACACAGAGAGACCCAACCACAUGGACAACACAGAGAGACCCAACCACAUGGACAACACAGAGAGACCCAACCACAUGGACAACACAGAGAGACCCAACCACAUGGACAACACAGAGAGACCCAACCACAUGGACAACACAGAGAGACCCAACCACAUGGACAACACAGAGAGACCCAACCACAUGGACAACACAGACAGACCCAACCACAUGGACAACACAGAGAGACCCAACCACAUGGACAACACAGAGAGACCCAACCACAUGGACAACACAGAGAGACCCAACCACAUGGACAACACAGACAGACCCAACCACAUGGACAACACAGAGAGACCCAACCACAUGGACAACACAGAGAGACCCAACCACAUGGACAACACAGAGAGACCCAACCACAUGGACAACACACAGAGCACCUAUAGGCACACUCAUGCACUUUGGCAUGCUUUGCUUUUUCUGCAUCACUUCCCCAAUCACACACAUUACAGUGUUGAUCUCCUGUGUUCGUCAUUUCAUUGUGUUGAUAAUGGUUGACAUAAACCUGUAUAAAUGUUAUGUCUACGGUGCCUUCAGAAAGUAUUCAGACCUCUUGACUUAUUUUGUUACGUUACAGCCUUAUUCUAAAAUUGAUUAGGUACGUUUUUUUCCCCUCAAUCAAUCUACACACAAUGCCCCAUAAUGACAUCACAAUACCCCAUAAUGACAUCACAAUACCCCAUAAUGACAUCACAAUACCCCAUAAUGACAAAGCAAAAACAAGUUUAGACAUUUUUGCUAAUUUAUUAAAAAUACAAAUCUGAAAUAAUACAUUAACAUAAGUAUUCAGGAACUUUUGGGUAGCGAUUACAGCCUCGGGUCUUCUUGGGUAUGAUGCUACAAGCUUGGCACGCCUGUAUUUGGGGAGUUUCUCACAUUCUUUUCUGCAGAUCCUCCAAGCUCUAUCAGGUUAGAUGGGGAGCAUCGCAGCACAGCUUUUUUCAGGUCUCUCCAGAGAUGUUAGAUCGGGUUCAAAUCCGGGAUCUGGCUGGACCACUCAAGGAUAUUCAGAAACUUGUCUUGAAGCCACUCCUGCGUUGUCUUGGUUGUGUGGUUAGGGUCAUUGUCCUGUUGGAAGGUGAACCUUCGCCCCAGUCUGAGGUCCUGAGUGCUCUGUAGCAGGUUUUCAUCAAGGAUCUCUCUGUUCUUCGCUCCGUUCAUCUUUCCCUCAAUCCUGACUAGUCUUCCAGUCCCUGCUGCUGAAAAACAUCCCCACAGCAUGAUGUUGCAACCAUCAUGCUUCACAGUAGGGAUGGUGCCAGGUUUCCUCCAGACAGAAUUGGCAUUCAGGCCAGAGAGUUCAAUCUUGGUUUCAUCAGACCAGACAAUCUUGUUUCUCACGGUCUGAGAGUCCUUUAGGUGCCUUUUGGCAGACUCCAAGCGGGCUGUCAUGUGCCUUUUACUGAGGAGAGGCUUCCGUCUAGCCACUUUACCAUAAAGACCUGAUUGGUGGAGUGCUGCAGAGAUGGUUGUCCUUCUGGAAGGUUCUCCCAUCUCCACAGAGGAACUCUAGAGCUCUGUCAGAGUGACCAUUGGUCACCUCCCUGACCAAGGCCCUUCUCCCCUGAUUGGUCAGUUUAGCCGGACAGCCAGCUCUAGGAAGAGUAUUGGUGGUUCCAAACUUCUUCCAUUUAAGAAUGAUGGAGGCCACUGUGUUCUUGGGGACCUUCAAUGCUGCAGACAUUUUUGGUACCCUUCCUCAGAUCUGUGCCUCGACACAAUCCUGUCUUGGAGCUCUACAGACAAUUCCUUUGACCUCGUGACUUGGUUUUUGUUCUGACGUGCACUGUCAACUGUGGGACCUUAUAAAGACAGGUGUGUGCCUUUCCAAAUCAUGUCCAAUCAAUUGAAUUUUCCACAGGUGGACUCCAAUCAAGUUGUAGAAACAUCUCAAGGAUGAUGAAUGGAAACAGGAUGCACCUGAGCUCAAUUUAGAGUCUCAUAGCAAAGGGUCUGAAUACCAAUGUAAAUAAGGUAUUUCAGUUUAUUGUUAAAAAAAAUAUAUAUUCUAAAAAUCUGUUUUCACUUCGUCAUUAUGGAGUAUUGUGUGUAGAUUGCUGAGAUUAUAUAUAUUUUUUAAUAUAUAUUUUUUAGAAUAAGGAUGUAACGUAAAAAAAUGUGGGAAAAGGUCUGAAUACUUUCUGAAGGCACCGUACGUAGUGUAAUUGUGUUGAUAACGCUUGGCAUAAACAGUAUGAAUGUCGUGUCUACGUAGUUUCAUUGUGUUGAUAACGCUUGGCAUAUGAAUGUGAGACCACAAUCAGUCAUAGCAAAUUCUUCCCCUCUCAAUCAUCUCUCACUCCUCUCCCUAUAGGGUUUGAUAGCCCAUGAGAUUGAAAUUUAAGCUUUUUGUAUAGGUCAGAUAAAUUUAACUGUAUGUCCUAUUCUAUAAAUGCUGUUUGUUUAUCUUGUAAGUUAACGAAUGAAAUUUAGUGGAUGUUUGAUGGAAUUUCAAAUCCUACAUGUGUAUUUUAAAACCAUAGCUUGUGCAAGCAGAUGUACAUAUUCAAAAAUAAAUUAACUUUUGUACAUACACUAGUAGAUAUGCUUGUAUUUAUUGCUAUGAACUUUGUUUAUGGAUGAUUGUUUAAACUUGUUCAAGUGUUUCAUAAAUGGAUGUCAUCAUUAAUUUAAUAAAACAACAGUAGCUUCACAGAUCACGUUGCAGUGCAUUGGAGUUUCCUCUAGCAUACAGAUUCCUAAUUCAUUAAUAAUAAUAAAUAAUUGACAAACAAACAGGAGGUCAGAAGCUAUCUGACGCAGUUUAUUAUCAACAGUUGAAGCCUGGC